CGCCAGCCCGCUCAGAAACUUAAAGGAAUUCGACGGGGGCCCGCACAAGCGGUGGAGCAUGUGGUUUAAUUCGAUGAUACGCGAGGAACCUUACCUGGGCUCAAAUGUAUGUUGACGUAUUCUGAAAGGGAUACUUCUUCGGACAAUAUACAAGGUGCUGCAUGGUUGUCGUCAGCUCGUGCCGUGAGGUGUCGGGUUAAGUCCCAUAACGAGCGCAACCCCUAUCAUUAGUUGCCAUCAGGUCAAGCUGGGGACUCUAAUGAAACUGCCUACGCAAGUAGUGAGGAAGGUGGGGAUGACGUCAAAUCAGCACGGCCCUUACGUCCAGGGCUACACACGUGCUACAAUGGCCGGCACAGCGGGAAGCGAGGGGGCGACCUUGAGCGGAUCCCUCAAAGCCGGUCUCAGUUCGGAUUGCAGUCUGCAACUCGACUGCAUGAAGUUGGAAUCGCUAGUAAUCGUGGAUCAGCCAAGCCGCGGUGAAUACGUUCCCGGGCCUU
rnacentral:rRNA from 1 species